UACUCCUGACUGACCGAUAGUGAACCAGUACCGUGAGGGAAAGGCGAAAAGAACCCCGGCGAGGGGAGUGAAAAAGAACCUGAAACCGUGUACGUACAAGCAGUGGGAGCACGCUUAGGCGUGUGACUGCGUACCUUUUGUAUAAUGGGUCAGCGACUUAUAUUCUGUAGCAAGGUUAACCGAAUAGGGGAGCCGAAGGGAAACCGAGUCUUAACUGGGCGUUAAGUUGCAGGGUAUAGACCCGAAACCCGGUGAUCUAGCCAUGGGCAGGUUGAAGGUUGGGUAACACUAACUGGAGGACCGAACCGACUAAUGUUGAAAAAUUAGCGGAUGACUUGUGGCUGGGGGUGAAAGGCCAAUCAAACCGGGAGAUAGCUGGUUCUCCCCGAAAGCUAUUUAGGUAGCGCCUCGUGAAUUCAUCUCCGGGGGUAGAGCACUGUUUCGGCAAGGGGGUCAUCCCGACUUACCAACCCGAUGCAAACUGCGAAUACCGGAGAAUGUUAUCACGGGAGACACACGGCGGGUGCUAACGUCCGUCGUGAAGAGGGAAACAACCCAGACCGCCAGCUAAGGUCCCAAAGUCAUGGUUAAGUGGGAAACGAUGUGGGAAGGCCCAGACAGCCAGGAUGUUGGCUUAGAAGCAGCCAUCAUUUAAAGAAAGCGUAAUAGCUCACUGGUCGAGUCGGCCUGCGCGGAAGAUGUAACGGGGCUAAACCAUGCACCGAAGCUGCGGCAGCGACGCUUAUGCGUUGUUGGGUAGGGGAGCGUUCUGUAAGCCUGUGAAGGUGUACUGUGAGGUAUGCUGGAGGUAUCAGAAGUGCGAAUGCUGACAUAAGUAACGAUAAAGCGGGUGAAAAGCCCGCUCGCCGGAAGACCAAGGGUUCCUGUCCAACGUUAAUCGGGGCAGGGUGAGUCGACCCCUAAGGCGAGGCCGAAAGGCGUAGUCGAUGGGAAACAGGUUAAUAUUCCUGUACUUGGUGUUACUGCGAAGGGGGGACGGAGAAGGCUAUGUUGGCCGGGCGACGGUUGUCCCGGUUUAAGCGUGUAGGCUGGUUUUCCAGGCAAAUCCGGAAAAUCAAGGCUGAGGCGUGAUGACGAGGCACUACGGUGCUGAAGCAACAAAUGCCCUGCUUCCAGGAAAAGCCUCUAAGCAUCAGGUAACAUCAAAUCGUACCCCAAACCGACACAGGUGGUCAGGUAGAGAAUACCAAGGCGCUUGAGAGAACUCGGGUGAAGGAACUAGGCAAAAUGGUGCCGUAACUUCGGGAGAAGGCACGCUGAUAUGUAGGUGAA
rnacentral:rRNA from 1 species